rnacentral:rRNA from 1 species
UACGUAGGGUGCAAGCGUUAAUCGGAAUUACUGGGCGUAAAGCGUGCGCAGGCGGUUAUGCAAGGCAGAUGUGAAAUCCCCGGGCUUAACCUGGGAACUGCAUUUGUGACUGCAUAGCUAGAGUACGGUAGAGGGGGAUGGAAUUCCGCGUGUAGCAGUGAAAUGCGUAGAUAUGCGGAGGAACACCGAUGGCGAAGGCAGUCCCCUGGACCUGUACUGACGCUCAUGCACGAAAGCGUGGGGAGCAAACAGG